CCUACGGGAGGCAGCAGUGAGGAAUAUUGGUCAAUGAGCGGGAGCCUGAACCAGCCACGCCGCGUGAGGGAAGAAGGUACAGCGUAUCGUAAACCUCUUUUGUCAGGGAACAAAGGCGGGGACUAGUCCCCGGAUGAGGGUACCUGAAGAAAAAGCAUCGGCUAACUCCGUGCCAGCAGCCGCGGUAAUACGGAGGAUGCGAGCGUUAUCCGGAUCUAUUGGGUUUAAGGGGUGCGCAGGCGGCGUGUUAAGUCAGCGGUAAAAGCCUGGGGCGCAACCCCGGCGCGCUGUGGAAACUGGUGGACUAGAGUUAGAGAGAGGUAAGCGGAAUGCGUGGUGAAGCGGUGGAAUGCGUAGAUAGUGGGCAGAACCCCGAUGGCGAAGGCAGCGUACCGGCUACACACUGACGCGGAGGAACGAAAGCGUGGGGAUCGAACAGGAUUAGAUACCCCGGUAGUC
rnacentral:rRNA from 1 species